rnacentral:miRNA from 1 species
UGCAUUUUUUGGUAAGACGAUGUUAACAAAAGUUGUUCGCCUUGAUAAGGGCUACAACUUUGCUUAAUAUCCUUUUAACAAAUUAUGCGUAUUUAAGAAGAUAGGUCCGCGCAUGCGCAGAACGUAACUCCUUACGCUUGCAUUUUUUGGUAAGACAAUGUUAACAAAAGUUGUUCCUCUUGAUGAGGGCUAAAACUUUGCUUAAUAUCCUUUUAACAAAUUAUGCG